AGGACGAACGCUGGCGGCGUGCUUAACACAUGCAAGUCGAGCGACGCUCCUCCUUCGGGAGGAUGACGGAGCGGCGAACGGGUGAGUAACACGUGGGCAACCUGCCCCUAGCUCUGGGAUAACCCCGGGAAAUCGGGACUAAUACCGGAUAUGAAGUCGGACGGCAUCGUCUGACUUGGAAAGUUUUCGGCUAGGGAUGGGCCCGCGGCCUAUCAGCUUGUUGGUGGGGUAAUGGCCUACCAAGGCGACGACGGGUAGCCGGCCUGAGAGGGCGACCGGCCACACUGGGACUGAGACACGGCCCAGACUCCUACGGGAGGCAGCAGUGGGGAAUAUUGCACAAUGGGCGAAAGCCUGAUGCAGCGACGCCGCGUGAGGGAUGACUGCCUUCGGGUUGUAAACCUCUUUCAGCAGGGACGAAGCGAAAGUGACGGUACCUGCAGAAGAAGCACCGGCAACUACGCGCCAGCAGCCGCGGUAA
rnacentral:rRNA from 1 species